CGCGGGCUUCGCUCCUUGUUGGGGAUUCGGCGGCGGCGGCGGCGGCGGCGCGGGCGCGCGCUUCCUAGUGACGCAGGCAGCGGGGCCGCGCACGCACGGGGCUGGGAGGGCCGGACACUUAUUUGGCGCUCGCCGGGGAGGAAGGCGGGGCCGUGAAAUAAGGCACAACGGGGCCUGGGGCGCGUGCGCGGACCGACUUUGUCAGCGCCUAACGCCGUGACUUCCUCCUGGUCCCCGCGGCUCCGGUUGGGUGUCGCCUGCCCCGCGCGAGCGGUCCGGACGAGGGACGAUGGUCGGUGGACGGACGGCGCCAGGGAGCAGUGCGCACGAGCGUCAGGGCGGUACCUCCAGGCCUCCAGGGCUGGCUCUCCUGACCUCACCAGUGUCAUCCAGCACCCUUGUGCUUGCUGUCACCCGCUGCCUGUCUGCAGGAUCCUGGAUUCCCUAUCAGGGGACUGAAAUUAGUCAGAAAAUAGGAAGCAGAUGCUUGUUUGGGAUGGAGCCCUGACCCUGUGCUCACACUUUAGGAGGAGGGCUCUGCAGGCCGCCUCCCCGAAUGGGAGGUUCCCAAGCCACUGCACUUCAGAGGUGCUGUAAUUAGAGUUGCACUUUCAUUCUGUUCCCAGUAAAGUGGAACGUGCUCAAGCCAGUGAGGAAAAGGUAUUUUUAACCGUUAGACUGGCCGAGUGCAGUGGCUCAUGCCUUUUAUCUCAACACUUUGGGAGGCCAAGGUGGGAGGAUCACCUGUGGCCAGGAGUUCAAAUCCAGCCUGGGCAAGAGUGAGCGUGUCUCUGGGGAUGAAUAAAAAAAUUAUUGAGCCUUU
rnacentral:lncRNA from 1 species